rnacentral:lncRNA from 10 species
GUGAAACGAUUCAUACUGCAAGCCGCCUAAAUGCAGGGCUUUUGAUGAUAUUCCCCGCCAACAAGGAUGAGUCAAGGCCUGCCUUGAUGUUGCUCUGUGUCCUACCAGCAAUUCUUCCUGGAAUCGUCUGUUCACAUGGAUGUCUAAAUGUUUAAGCACCCAUGCAUGAAGGUGGGGCUUGCCUCCAUCUGGCUCUCCUGCCACUUUCAACAACACACCCCACAUCCGAUCCUGCUUAGAGUCGAAGAUGAAUCUGGCAUAAUACAAACAGCACUGGACUGGAAGCAUGAAGUUUCUCUUAUCUGUGCCUUGGUUUCCUCAUGUGGAAAAUGAAAAUGUUGACAUAAAUAAUCACACA